GACGAACGCUGGCGGCGUGCCUAACACAUGCAAGUCGGACGGGGAUAACAUGGAAUUUAUUCCGAGUUAUUCUAGUGGCGAACGGGUGAGUAACGCGUGAGCAACCUGACCUUUUGAGGGGGAUAACACUUGGAAACGAGCGCUAAUACCGCAUAAGACCACACUGUCGCAUGGCAGAGAGGUCAAAGGAGCAAUCCGCAGAAGGAGGGGCUCGCGUCCCAUUAAAUAGUUGGUAAGGUAAUGGCUUACCAAGUCAGCGAUGGGUAGCCGAGCUGAGAGGCUGAUCGGCCACACUGGAACUGAGACACGGUCCAGACUCCUACGGGAGGCAGCAGUGGGGAAUAUUGGGCAAUGGGCGCAAGCCUGACCCAGCAACGCCGCGUGAGGGAAGAAGGCUUUCGGGUUGUAAACCUCUGUCGCAGGGGACGAAAAAAAUGACGGUACCCUGUGAGGAAGCCCCGGCUAACUACGUGCCAGCAGCCGCGGUAAUACGUAGGGGGCGAGCGUUGUCCGGAAUUACUGGGCGUAAAGGGUGCGUAGGUGGCAAUUUAAGUUGGAUGUGAAAUACCCGGGCUUAACCUGGGGGGUGCAUUCAAAACUGGAUAGCUAGAGUGCAGGAGAGGGAAGCGGAAUUCCUAGUGUAGCGGUGAAAUGCGUAGAUAUUAGGAGGAACACCAGUGGCGAAGGCGGCUUUCUGGACUGUAACUGACACUGAGGCACGAAAGCGUGGGGAGCAAACAGGAUUAGAUACCCUGGUAGUCCACGCUGUAAACGAUGAAUACUAGGUGUGCCGCAGCAAACGCAAUAAGUAUUCCGCCUGGGGAGUACGACCGCAAGGUUGAAACUCAAAGGAAUUGACGGGGGCCCGCACAAGCAGCGGAGCAUGUGGUUUAAUUCGAAGCAACGCGAAGAACCUUACCAAGGCUUGACAUCCUACUAAACUCAUGGAAACAUGAGGUCCCUUCGGGGGAGUAGAGACAGGUGGUGCAUGGUUGUCGUCAGCUCGUGUCGUGAGAUGUUGGGUUAAGUCCCGCAACGAGCGCAACCCCUGUUCUUAGUAGCCAGCGGUUCGGCCGGGCACUCUAGGGAGACUGCCAGGGAUAACCUGGAGGAAGGCGGGGAUGACGUCAAAUCAUCAUGCCCCUUAUGAUCUGGGCUACACACGUGCUACAAUGGUGACUACAAAGAGAAGCGACCUCGCGAGAGCAAGCAAAUCCCAAAAAAGUCAUCCCAGUUCGGAUUGUAGUCUGCAACUCGACUACAUGAAGCUGGAAUCGCUAGUAAUCGCGAAUCAGAAUGUCGCGGUGAAUGCGUUCCCGGGUCUUGUACACACCGCCCGUCAAACCACGGGAGUCGGUAAUGCCCGAAGUCAGUGACCCAACCGUAAGGAGGGAGCUGCCGAAGGCAGGAUCGAUAACUGGGGUU
rnacentral:rRNA from 1 species